rnacentral:lncRNA from 1 species
AGGUCUUCGUUCUACGACACUGCAGACUGCGUCAAUAAUCGAUCAAUUGCAUUGUGAUCGUUUUUCAAUCUACAAAGCUUAAUUUACAGGAGAAUAUCCGAGUCAAAAGAAUGAAGUAUUUUCUCGUCUUAUUCAUCGCCAUAGCUGUAGGGAUAGAGUCUCGAUCUCUGAGCCCAUAUUCAAGUUUGGAAGAAGCAGUCAGAGCGCACUCCGAACCUCCAAUAGAGAGUCCAUUCGACAUUUCGACGAUAGAGAUGCUGCC